rnacentral:lncRNA from 1 species
UAUUUAUAUUGUUUUCACAGAUAUCCUUGCAAGAAGAAAAUCGAGUUAUACAAUUGAAGUAUUUCCAUUGCUUUUUCUUCAUUCUCUGUGUCCAGCUAUGCAGGAUCACGAAAACAUGCUAGUACCGAAGUAUAUUUUCUGAUGGUUUUUAUACAGCAAACAUGGUUGAGAAACAAAGAACUGAGACUGAAAUAAAGGCAGAUGUUUAUAAGGUAGAAGAUGGUUCACUUUAUAGCCUAAAUCUCUGCAGUACAUUUGACAUCUUUUCAUCAUCUAUGGUUGUACUUGCGCAGGAGGAAAUGGAAAAAGUAGAGACUUCAGAAAACAGAACAUAUACCACUUGGUAUCAUUACUAGGAGGAAACCUCAACUCAUUGAAGAGGCAAAAUUCCAAGCCUGAAGCUGAAAUGAUUCUGAAUUGAGCUGUGAAACAGAGCUGCUGAGCUGCUGGUCUGCCUGUUGCAGUUAGAAUGUGUGGUGACAUAUCUCUAAAUAUAAACUAUACAGAAAAAGGUAUUCUACAUCUUCUACUAUUUAUUCUAUUUAGAAAUUUUGGAUAA